rnacentral:rRNA from 1 species
UACGUAGGGUGCAAGCGUUAAUCGGAAUUACUGGGCGUAAAGCGUGCGCAGGCGGUUUUGUAAGUCUGACGUGAAAUCCCCGGGCUCAACCUGGGAAUUGCAUUUGUGACUGCACGGCUAGAGUGUGUCAGAGGGGGGUAGAAUUCCACGUGUAGCAGUGAAAUGCGUAGAGAUGUGGAGGAAUACCGAUGGCGAAGGCAGCCCCCUGGGAUAACACUGACGCUCAUGCACGAAAGCGUGGGGAGCAAACAGG